rnacentral:rRNA from 1 species
CAAUAGCGUAUAUUAAAGUUGUUGCAGUUAAAAAGCUCGUAGUUGGACCUUGGACCUGGACAGGCGGUCCGCCUCACGGCGAGUACUGUCUUGCUGGGUCUUUCCUCUUGGUGAUCUGUUGUUUCGGCAGCAGGGAACCAGGACCUUUACUUUGAAAAAAUUAGAGUGUUCAAAGCAGGCUCGACGCCGGAAUAUAUUAGCAUGGAAUAAUAAGAUAGGACGUGCGGUUCUAUUUUGUUGGUUUUUGGAAUCGCCGUAAUGAUUAAUAGGGACAGUCGGGGGCAUUAGUACUCACAUGCUAGAGGUGAAAUUCUUGGAUUUUGUGAAGACUAACUUCUGCGAAAGCAUUUGCCAAGGAUGUUUUCAUUA